rnacentral:rRNA from 1 species
AGCAGCCGCGGUAAUUCCAGCUCCAAUAGCGUAUAUUAAAGUUGUUGCAGUUAAAAAGCUCGUAGUUGAAUUUCGGGAUUAGUACGCUGGUCAUGCCUUUGGUAUGUACUGGUGUUACUGGUUCCUACCUUCUGAGGAACCGUCAUGUCAUUAAUUUGGUGUGGCGGGGAAUCAGGACUGUUACUUUGAAAAAUUAGAGUGUUUAAAGCAGGCUCGCGCUUGAAUACAUUAGCAUGGAAUAAUGAAAUAGGACGUUUGACCCUAUUUUGUUGGUUUCUAGGAUCGACGUAAUGAUUAAUAGGGAUAGUUGGGGGCAUUAGUAUUCAAUUGUCAGAGGUGAAAUUCUUGGAUUUAUUGAAGACUAACUACUACGAAAGCAUUUGCCAAGGAUGUUUUCAUUAAUCAAGAACGAAAGUUAGGGGAUCGAAGACGAUCAGAUACCGUCGUAGUCUUAACCAUAAACUAUGCCGACUAGGGAUCGGAUGAUGUAUUUUAAUGACUCAUUCGGCGCCUUACGGGA